rnacentral:lncRNA from 1 species
UUCAAUUAUGUUUAUCUAAUCUAAUGAAUUCCUAGCAACGAAAUUCCUAGGUGGAAAUUUAUGCAUAGCAAUCUUUUGAGAAUCAAUGAACUUUUUUGCUAGCUUUUUCUUUUUCCAAUCAUAUCGGACCUUGCUAGGGUCUUCGUAUCCUCAAAUGAACAGAAGAGAAGAUCGGUCAGGAAAUUGCGUGAAAACCAAAAAAAAAAAA